rnacentral:rRNA from 1 species
UUCGAUCGUGCGAUNCGGGCGGUUCGCCUCGCGCGAUUGGCGAGAAGUCCAUUGAUCCUUAUCAUUUAGAGGAAGGAGAAGUCGUAACAAGGUUUCCGUAGGUGAACCUGCGGAAGGAUCAUUG